rnacentral:lncRNA from 1 species
CUCUCUUACUGAUACUGCAGAGCUGUAUUCAGGCAGCUGCCCAUAGAUGACUUGGAUCUUCAUUUUUUUGUGUGAAAUUGAAAUUUAUGGAUGUCCUCAGAGCAUGUUCUUUCUAGAUGAAAGAGUUGAUGAAGCUUCAAAAGUGGUUCCAUACUCUAGGAGAUGUGUGAUAGUACUGUCCUGGUUUGAGCAACCUGAACUGCAGAUGUCACUCUUCGUGGGAACUCAACCCUUUUGUUGCCUGCAGCAUCGGACUGCACAAACUACACAAUUCUUUACCGCAUGGAAGUGUCAGGAGGAAAUGUGGGCUGUGAUGAUCAAAAACAAAAGACUCUUUGGGAUCUUCGACCUUGUGCAAUUAAAGGUCUCCCUUCAAUACCUACUUCAUCAUUUAAUGUCUGUGGUGCUAAUAAUGUGCUGGUGCUUUGGUAUGGUAUCAACUCCAAGGGAAGAGUGCCACCUACUGAACUACCAGUUCUCUAUUUUGUGACAUAUAUAUCUGCCAGUUUUUCACCCAAAAUACUGACCAAAUCCUGUCUUGUGUAAGACAUGCAAUAUCAAGGCCUUGACAUGGCAUAUCCAAAUGUGUGAUGUUCCCAGUGUGGAUGAGAUCACUGUGCUGUGGCACUUGGAAACAUAAUCCUUUCCUCCUUUGUGGAUGUUUGAACGUGGAUUUUAACACGAUAAUUAUAAAAGACUGCAAUAAAAAUGAAGUUAGUAACAACCCACAUAAUGUUACUGUUAUCUGACCCUGAUUUGAACUCUCCACUGCUAUAAAAGCUAAAAUAUACUGCUAAUGAUUUCUUUGAAAAUAUGCUAAUAAUUAAUGCAUUAUUUCAGUCUUAGUCUCAUAAAAAUUAGAAAUGUC